UCAGAUUGAGGGCUGCAACCCGCCCUCAUGAAGUCGGAGUUGCUAGUAAUCGCGGAUCAGCAUGCCGCGGUGAAUACGUUCCCGGGCCUUGUACACACCGCCCGUCACACCAUGGGAGUUGGGAGCACCCGAAGCCGGUGAGGUAACCGAAAGGAGCCAGCCGUCGAAGGUGAGACCAAUGACUGGGGUGAAGUCGUAACAAGGUAGC
rnacentral:rRNA from 1 species